rnacentral:rRNA from 1 species
CCUACGGGAGGCAGCAGUCGGGAAUAUUUCGCAAUGGGGGAAACCCUGACGCAGUGACGCCGCGUGCAUGAAGAAGGUUUUCGGAUUGUAAAGCUCUAUCAGCAGGGAAGAUAAUGACGGUACCUGACUAAGAAGCCCCGGCUAACUACGUGCCAGCAGCCGCGGUAAUACGUAGGGGGCCAGCGUUAUCCGGAUUUUCUGGGUGUAAGGGGUGCGUAGGUGGCAGGGCAAGUCUGAUGUGAAAGCCCGGGGCUCAACCAGGGUACUGCAUUUGAAACUGUCCAGCUGGAGUGCAGGAGAGGAAAGUGGAAUUCCUAGUGUAGCGGUGAAAUGCGUAGAUAUUAGGAGGAACACCAGUGGCGAAGGCGACUUACUGGACUGUAACUGACGCUGAUGCACGAAAGCGUGGGGAGCAAACAGGAUUAGAUACCCUAGUAGUC